AUGGAUGACGUAUGUGCAGAGCCAAGGCUGCUGCCGUUCCAGCUUUUAAAAGAAAUCACAAAUGAUUUCUCUACGGACAUGAAAGUUGGCGAGGGAUCAUUCGGAGAAGUUUAUAAGGGAGAGCAGAAAAAUGGGCAAAUGAUUGCUGUGAAGGUACUUCAUCCCAUUUCACGACUUGGUAAUAAAGAAUUUGAGAAGGAGUACCAGAACCUCGCAACUGUACAACAUAAAAACAUUGUGCGGUUAGUUGGCUAUAGCCAUGAAACUUUUGGAGAAUUCAGACAUUUUGAAGGAAGAUCGCUUUUUAUAGAAACGAUAAAGAGAGCCCUUUGCUUCAAGUAUAUGGAACAUGGAAGCCUUGACAGGUUUCUUGCUGAUGAAUCUAGUGGACAUGAUUGGCGCACACGCUUUGCAAUAAUUAAGGGGAUUUGCCAGGGUUUAAAACACCUUCAGGAGGAAUUGAAUCCUCCUAUGUAUCAUUUGGAUUUAAAACCAGCCAAUAUAUUGCUGGAUGAAAAUAUGGUGCCCAAAAUCGCAGAUUUUGGCUUGUCAAGGCUCUUUGGAGGAGAACAAACACAAAUGACAAACACUCGUAUAGGAACAAUUGGUUUCAUACCACCGGAAUUUAUUGACGCGGGUGUAAUUUCUAUUAAGUUUGAUAUAUAUAGUUUGGGGAUGGUAAUUAUAAAGAUAAUGACAGGACCAGAUGGGUACUUUCGAAGUGCUGAAAUGUCUCCACAACAAUUCGUAGAGCUUGAACAUGUGAAAUGGAAGAAUAAGCUACAAACAACAUCGGUUUACAUGUUGGAGCUAUAUUGUAAACAAGUAAAGAGUUGCCUCGAAAUAGCUGUAAGCUGUGUGGAUGUAGAUCGACACAAGAGGCCUAGCAUAGGGGUAGUCAUUGCUAGGCUGAAUGAGACGGAGACUGCAGUGAAAUUACUUGGUGCGCUGAUGAACGACAGAGGGUCAUCGAUGUACAAGGCUAUCAACUUUCCAAGAAAGCAGGCCAAGAAAAAAUAUGCAAGCUCAGGGAAAGUGCAGUUGGCAAUCGAGAACAACAGAUAG
rnacentral:rRNA from 1 species